rnacentral:rRNA from 1 species
GACGAACGCUGGCGGCGUGCUUAACACAUGCAAGUCGAACGGAAAGGCCCUGCUUUUGUGGGGUGCUCGAGUGGCGAACGGGUGAGUAACACGUGAGUAACCUGCCCUUGACUUUGGGAUAACUUCAGGAAACGGGGGCUAAUACCGGAUAGGAGCUCCUGCGGCAUGGUGGGGGUUGGAAAGUUUCGGCGGUUGGGGAUGGGCUCGCGGCUUAUCAGCUUGUUGGUGGGGUAGUGGCUUACCAAGGCGUUGACGGGUAGCCGGCCUGAGAGGGUGACCGGCCACAUUGGGACUGAGAUACGGCCCAGACUCCUACGGGAGGCAGCAGUGGGGAAUAUUGCACAAUGGGCGGAAGCCUGAUGCAGCAACGCCGCGUGCGGGAUGACGGCCUUCGGGUUGUAAACCGCUUUCGCCUGUGACGAAGCGUGAGUGACGGUAAUGGGUAAAGAAGCACCGGCUAACUACGUG